UGAAGUUUUCGGAUGGAUUUUGAUUGACUGAGUGGCGGACGGGUGAGUAACGCGUGGAUAACCUGCCUCACACUGGGGGAUAACAGUUAGAAAUGACUGCUAAUACCGCAUAAGCGCACAGUAUCGCAUGGUACGGUGUGAAAAACUCCGGUGGUGUGAGAUGGAUCCGCGUCUGAUUAGCCAGUUGGCGAGGUAACGGCCCACCAAAGCGACGAUCAGUAGCCGACCUGAGAGGGUGACCGGCCACAUUGGGACUGAGACACGGCCCAAACUCCUACGGGAGGCAGCAGUGGGGAAUAUUGCACAAUGGGGGAAACCCUGAUGCAGCGACGCCGCGUGAGUGAAGAAGUAUUUCGGUAUGUAAAGCUCUAUCAGCAGGGAAGAUAAUGACGGUACCUGACUAAGAAGCCCCGGCUAACUACGUGCCAGCAGCCGCGGUAAUACGUAGGGGGCAAGCGUUAUCCGGAUUUACUGGGUGUAAAGGGAGCGUAGACGGCAUGGCAAGUCUGAAGUGAAAGCCCGGGGCUCAACCCCGGGACUGCUUUGGAAACUGUCAAGCUAGAGUGCAGGAGAGGUAAGUGGAAUUCCUAGUGUAGCGGUGAAAUGCGUAGAUAUUAGGAGGAACACCAGUGGCGAAGGCGGCUUACUGGACUGUAACUGACGUUGAGGCUCGAAAGCGUGGGGAGCAAACAGGAUUAGAUACCCUGGUAGUCCACGCCGUAAACGAUGAGUGCUAGGUGUUGGGGGCAAAGCCCUUCGGUGCCGUCGCAAACGCAAUAAGCACUCCA
rnacentral:rRNA from 1 species